AUGCUGCAGAUGGUGCAGCUGCCCAGGAUACCCGAGGUCAAUGGGAAGGGCGGGCAACAAGGCGAGGGCGACCUGUUGGGGUACCGGUCAAACCCGGAUAUGAUGGAUAUCAAAAUUGCUCCUGAAGGACAGGGCAAAGAUGGUAUCUACGUUCCUCCGAAAAUUGGGCCAGCUGCCAUGGAUGAUAGUCAUAGUAAAGACGCUGUAAGGAAAGAGAAAAGAUUAUUACGCAUGACAACAGAGAAUCCUUACUUCAAGGAGAUGAUUGAUGAUGCUGCUGAUAGACCUGAAAAGUGGAAGGAAACAGCGGGUGAUGAAAGCAAAGAAUUUAUGACCUACAUGCGGCAGAGAGAGAAGCAAGAGAAGGCAGAAGAGGAGCUGUUCACCCGAGCUCCAGUAACCAAGCGUGAAAAGUACAUGGAGAAGCAGAUGAAGAAGCAGCUUCACGGGUUACAAGGCCUGACUGACGGAUUCGACCUCGGGAUGAACAUACUGCUCGAUGGAGAAAAGGAAGACGACGGUGGUUCCAGUGAGCUGCGUAGACAGAGCGCGGGACGGAGAAAACACCAGAAAGGCGGCCAGAGGAAGCGACACUAG
rnacentral:rRNA from 1 species